rnacentral:siRNA from 1 species
GUGAAUUGCAGAAUCCCGUGAAC